UGUAGGGUAGCUCAGUCGGUAGAGCAUGUGACUCUUAAUCUUAGGGUUGUGGGUUGGAGCUGCACGUUGGACGACAA